UGGGGGAAAAAAGUUGGGCGAAGGCGGCCUUUCUGGACUGACACUGACACUGAGGUGCGAAAGCGUGGGUAGCAAACAGGAUUAAAUACCCUGGUAGUCCACGCCGUAAACGAUGUCAACUAGCCGUUGGGUCCCUUGAGGACUUAGUGGCGCAGCUAACGCAAUAAGUUGACCGCCUGGGGAGUACGGCCGCAAGGUUAAAACUCAAAUGAAUUGACGGGGGCCCGCACAAGCGGUGGAGCAUGUGGUUUAAUUCGAUGCAACGCGAAGAACCUUACCUACCCUUGACAUCCAGAGGACUUUCCAGAGAUGGAUUGGUGCCUUCGGGAACUCUGAGACAGGUGCUGCAUGGCUGUCGUCAGCUCGUGUUGUGAAAUGUUGGGUUAAGUCCCGUAACGAGCGCAACCCCUAUCCUUAUUUGCCAGCGAGUAAUGUCGGGAACUCUAAGGAGACUGCCGGUGACAAACCGGAGGAAGGUGGGGACGACGUCAAGUCAUCAUGGCCCUUACGGGUAGGGCUACAC
rnacentral:rRNA from 1 species